UACGGGGGGGGCAAGCGUUGUUCGGAAUUACUGGGCGUAAAGGGCUCGUAGGUGGCCAACUAAGUCAGACGUGAAAUCCCUCGGCUUAACCGGGGAACUGCGUCUGAUACUGGAUGGCUUGAGUUCGGGAGAGGGAUGCGGAAUUCCAGGUGUAGCGGUGAAAUGCGUAGAUAUCUGGAGGAACACCGGUGGCGAAGGCGGCAUCCUGGACCGACACUGACACUGAGGAGCCAAAGCCAGGGGAGCAAACGGG
rnacentral:rRNA from 1 species